rnacentral:rRNA from 1 species
CAGAUGCGAAAGCGUGGGUAGCAAACAGGAUUAGAUACCUUGGUAGUCCACGCCGUAAAACGCUGCCUACUUGGAGGUUGAGGUUUUAGACCUUGGCUUUCGGCGCUAACGCAUUUAAGUAGACCGCCUGGGGAGUACGGCCGCAAGGUUAAAACUCAAAUGAAUUGACGGGGGCCCGCACAAGCGGUGGAGCAUGUGGUUUAAUUCGAUGCAACGCGAAGAACCUUACCUACUCUUGACAUCCAGCGAAGCCUUUAGAGAUAGAGGCGUGCCUUCGGGAGCGCUGAGACAGGUGCUGCAUGGCUGUCGUCAGCUCGUGUUGUGAAAUGUUGGGUUAAGUCCCGCAACGAGCGCAACCCUUAUCCUUGUUUGCCAGCACGUAAUGGUGGGAACUCCAGGGAGACUGCCGGUGAUAAACCGGAGGAAGGUGGGGACGACGUCAAGUCAUCAUGGCCCUUACGAGUAGGGCUACACACGUGCUACAAUGGCAGAUACAGAGGGCAGCGAGACAGCGAUGUUUAGCGAAUCCCUUAAAGUUUGUCGUAGUCCGGAUUGGAGUCUGCAACUCGACUCCAUGAAGUCGGAAUCGCUAGUAAUCGUGGAUCAGAAUGCCACGGUGAAUACGUUCCCGGGCCUUGUACACACCGCCCGU